ensembl:lncRNA
CUCUCUCGCUCGCUGCAAGCAGGGAGCAGGCAUGGGUUUGAAAAGGAUACUCAAGCCUGGCAGUGGCAGGGGCGCACUGUAGUUGAAGGAAACUGGAGAUUUCUACUAUAGCCGUCAACGCCAACCGAUAACCUCCCGACUAAUUUUGUUCUUCAGGAUUAGGCUUUAUCAGGUAGACCCAGGUUUGAGGAUUUGUUGGUAAUUAGAAGAGAGAACUUUUCAAUGACAGCGUGCUGUGUAUAAGUGAGGUGCGUUCUUUAUUUCUAAGCCAUCAGUAGCAUUCACUUUGGUGCUGGGCUAUAAACUAACCAAUGGCGACUGAGGAGGACCAAGAUGGACAGCGUCAGAAAAACGUUGUUUUGAAGAGGAAGUUGACCGGUCCACCCAGACUCCUCCUGGGCAAAUCAAAAUCCAACAACCAGAGAGGUGAUAGGUCUGAGGCUCAUUCUAAGAAGAGAAACAAAAGAGUGAACAUCAUCAAUGGAAGUCAGAUGGAUUCCUCCAUCAAACAGUCAAAUAUAGAAGCUGGAGAGACGGGAUCAUCACAACCUGUAGCCACUUCAGACGACAUCUGUACAACCUCAAAAAUGGAUGAGGAUCAAGCUUCAUCUGAACUACCCACUGAGCCCUCAAGGUGGCGCUCCACCUCAGAUGAGGAUGAGACCAGUGAAGGCCAAUUGGAAGGACACAGUAAGACGAGGAAAUCAACAAAGCAUGGCUGGAGAAGGUUAUUUUCCCCGGCUCUCAUUUGCGUCAGAAGACAAAGGAAGAAGUACGCUGCAAAAACUUCAAUCCAGGGUGGUGACCAGGGAGUUGUACAAGCUGAGAGAUUAACUCACACUGAAGCAAAGUCAAUGGGAGAAGACACCAUCUCCUUGAGUGACAAGUGUGUCCGCGAUGCUCCUGACAUUGACAAUGUCAAGAAAAGGGGGCGCAGGUUUACCAUCCGGACGUGGCCGACCUUCAAGCGGCUCUUGACAGUGUCUUACGUCCGCGGCCAAAGGCCAAAACAGGGAAAUGUUGUACAGGUGGUCUCUGAAGACGUUCAACAACCGUCAGUGACUUUCAGGAAGACAUUUCAGCAUUUUUUGAUGUGUGGAAGAAGGGCACCUUCAGCUGUGAUCCCUCUGGAAGACAAGGACACCCAGGACACUGGAGACAAGGACAACCAGGACACUGGAGACAAGGACAACCAGGACACUGGAGACAAGGACAACCAGGACACUGGAGACAAGGACAACCAGGACACUGGAAACAAGGACAACCAGGACACUGGAGACAAGGAGACUGAGGUGGAGCCAAUGGGGACACAAGACAGGGGACAACAGUGCACAUCUGACAUCCAGGGGGUUGAGCUUCUGGAAAAGGGGGCUGAGGUUAGAGGACAAUGUACAGAGAGAGUGACAGUGUGUGCCGAAGUGAGUGCCCUGCAGCCCGAGAACGAAUGCCCAACAGACACCCUAACGAGCCCAGAGUCCCUACUAGUAAGUCCCAUCCCGACAAGAGUAGUAAGACCAGAGGUAGAUACAGAAUACACAGAGACCAGUCCAAUGGGUGAUUCAAAGGAAACAGGGAUAUUGGAACCUAAGACUUCUUUCAAAACUAAGUUAUGGGAAACUGAGACUUCUACCAAAACUGGCACAGACUCAAUCCUCAGUGAAGUCAUCAAUGUUACCAUGGAUGCUAACGAGAUGCAAGGAGAUGAACUGGAUCAUAUCCAGUGUUUAGAGAAGGACAAGGUCAUUGAGUCAGACUGUGCGAUAAUCAAUACGCUCAACAGCGUUGCCAUGGACACGAAUGAGUAUCCCUCAGACUCAAAUCAGAUAAUUUCUUCAGAGAAUGCUGCUGAGGACUCUGCUGAUGCAUCUGAGGAGAAUGACACACUCUGCAUGAUCACGGUAGAUAACAUUGUGCAAAAUGGCCCGCCCUUGACCAACAUCAGCAUCACCCCCGGGGCUGACUCGGAUCAGGAUGUGUCCGACCAGGAUAGCCAUGAGGUGGGGGAUGAAAGCGGCAAGAGUGGCCUCCUGACGGAGGAUGACCAGGACUUGUUGUGUGGAGAGAACCUGUUAGUGCAGACGGCUCGCUUCUUGGUCCAGGCAGUCAUGAGUGCCGCCAUGGAGCAGCUCUCAAUGGAACAGAGAGGCACUCCCACCACAGUCCACAGGGAGGCGCAAGGGAGUCGAGAUCACGCUUGACACCCCCUUCCGGCGUGUUGUGAACACGUAUGACCCCAUUUGGAUCAGCCGAGUUGCGUUCAUUACGGCACACAGCGGAAAAAGUUUUAAAACAUUUUGCAACAGAAAAUGGAAAUGAUAGUUUCUUAUUGAACCAGUAGUUUCUGUUUCAAUCCGUUUUCUUCCGUUUUGUGUCUAAUGAACACGAACCAGGAUUAUUGAGAAAAUAUAUUUUUUAAAUUAGACAAGUAUACAUCUGUAAACCACUUUUAAAGUUAUUGUUGUUUACAACUUGUUGUUAACAAACCAAACUGCUGCUGUUCAUAUAAAUCUAAACCAGAGAACCGUAUUGACACAAUACAUUUUUACAAUAUAUUCUCUUAUAUUGUACAAGUGGUGGCACUCAAUUUUCACAAUUACCAUCACAAACAUUUUAACUGUUCAAGGUGACUGUGUGUUUUGAAAAUGAUGGAACUAAGGGCUCUAUUCAAUCAAUAUCGCAGAAAAUCAGCGUUACUGCGUGAUUGAAUUUUCAAGGCAAUGUUCCCGACUGCAUUCUCAGUAAACUCUGCAUAUGUCACCUCAAUCGGAAAUUACCUUCACAUUUCUAGCGCACAAUCUGUAGCUCUUCAGUGAUACAGAUUGAAUAUAGUCCUUAUACCUCAAUUACGGUUUAUUUACCUAUAGAACAGAAAGUCUCAGAUUCGCAGAUAAAGUUUAUCUGUUCAUCUGAAUAAACUAUAGUUCUUAAAAAGCUGAGAUCCGCGAUAGGGAAACAGCCACUGGCUACCCCAGGCGCAUUUGUUUUUGUUUUGAGCCAAUGAGCAACCAGCAUCGUGGUACAUUACUCUGCGGUUCUAUCGCGCAAUGACAUGUAACGAUGUCAGAGGGGAAAAACAGUGCUGGUUGUUGAUGUAACGUCUUCGUUGUUGUAAUAUCGCAAAUGGUCACGGCAGUUUCACCGCUACCGAUUCCAAUUUUAAUUAAUCAAACAUUUGAUGAUGUAUUUAAGAUAUGGUGAUUAUUUCACACAAUGAAAGUCUUAGGCUCUUAUUGACCAGUGAGUGUCUUGCCCUCUGGUUGCUGUUUAAUAGAUGUAUAAGCAUACAUUGCUCAGUUAAAAAGCUUUCUCUCUUAUGUGUAUAGAGACUAUACAACGCUUAACGUUACACCUGUAACUUGUCAUAAGAAAAUAUUAGGUACCCUAGUCCGAAUAGAACUCUGUGCUGUCGUUUUUGUGUGUGAAUGUCAUUCUGUCAUGGGAAAAUAAUGACUACACAGUUUGACACCUGGUGUACCUGGAUAAAUACAACCUAGUCUCCAGGUGGCUAUCUGUUGUCAUUCUGUCAUCAUUGCUUGACCUCCUGGACUUCAGAGGAGAUUUUGCAGUAUUUGGAAACAAGACCAGCAAACAUCUGUCUUGAUGCAACACAACAUUCAAUACAUGGAGGCUUGCUGGUUUCCCAAAGGCCUCUUUUAGAGGUGGAGGACUGUGAGGCAAACAGCAAUGACAUCAUUAGAAGUGGAUACCAGGCUCUCGUAACCAAAACAAUGUGUCAUCCAAUGAUAUGAGCCAACUCUCUGGUCUGACCAUGAGCAGUAUGUCCUGUAUGUGUGAUCACCCCCUUGAGAUCUGGCUACGGAGGCAAUCACUUCAGAGGAGUGAAGGGUGUUGACAGUCUUUUAAUGUGACGGGUGAGGAUUGAUUCAAUUGUGAAGAGAAAAAUUGGCCUUUUCUAAUUGAGUUAUGUGAGUAAUAUCUGGUUGAUUUGUUGUUGUUUUAUGUUAAGUGUGUAUAACGUGCUGGUGGAUAUUUAUUUAUCAAUAUAACUAUAUUUUCUGUUUGAAAACUGUCACCAAUUAAAUGAUCGGACAGACAUGCAUAAUCUCACUCCUGAUCUACCUAUUUUUAGCUGCAACAUGUGAAAAUGAUCUUCCCCAGUGAAGUCGGCAGUGUGUUUCUAUAGCGAUAGAGCCAUCUUAUAUUUAAUUAUAACCUACCUAUCGUCAAGAAACUACCCAUUUGAACCAUUACAGUUCUGUUUAGUUUCUCAGUUUCUUCUCAUCAUGCUUCUUCUCUGUUAAUUAAGGCACAAUAAUAGUUUGCCAUUUGAUUGGGAGGGUGGGGUACUACUUAUUGUUCUUACAGCCUCAGCUUAAUCUUACUUCAUGGCAGAUUGUAACAAUGUAUUUUUGGACAUUUUGUUAUUAUCACAAGUAAGAGUUCGAUGGGUUCCAGCACUAUCUGUCCUAUAAUAAAUCAGAAUAUACUUAACCUAUUGCUUGAGAGAGAAUUGUGCUGUCUCAGAGCCAGAAGCCAUCUGUCAAUUUUAAUAUUUUAAUGUUGAGCUCCAGAGGGAUACAUAAAACAUUCUGUGUAGCUGUUCCAUUAACCUGCUUCACUCAGAGGACCAUGGCUACAUCCCAAUUCUCCACCCUUUUCCAGAAGUGUGUCCUUGCACACUCCCCAUAAUGGAUUUAAAAGCACAUGAUUGGUGUAAGCAUUGGCUUGGAGGGAGUUUCCACCUUUGUUAAAUCCGUGUCGGGAACGUGUGCAAGUGCACACUUGUGGAAAAGGGUGGAGAAUGAAAAUUGUGAUGCAGACGAAUAAGCAUGGGGUAGAAGAGAGGCCUGAUGGUACCUUUUGGGGAUGAGUCCUUCAGCUCUUAAGUGGCCUCUGGUGGUAAGAAGUUGUUACUACAAGAACAGGGAACAUAAAGCCUGGUUCAAGAAAUGUUGCUGUUCUUGCUUACUCAUUUGCAGUCCUUGUCUAGCGAAGUUUGGCAUGACAAUGAAUGACAAGGAGUCGGUAUGAUAUAACACAAACAGACUUGCACUCAGGUUAGGGAACAUACCAGGUGUGCUCUAUAAAUUGAGCUGUGUUGAGAUUCUCCACCCUUCUCUAAGUGUGUCCUACUUCCUCUGUCCCCUUUAAAAACAUUGUAUUGGUGUAAUCAUAGGCUGAUUGAAGUUACCACUGUAAAUCUUGCUUUUACUUCCAUGAGGGUGAGUGAAUGUGUUUUUACACAUUUCGUGGAUAAGGGUAGAGCAUGGGACUAAAGCAAUGGAGGCUGCUGAGGGGAGGACGGCUCAUAAUAAUGUCUGGAACGGAGUGAAUGGAAUGACAAACAUUGAACAUUGAAACUAUGUGUUUGAUACCAUUCCAGCUAUUACCAUGAG